rnacentral:tRNA from 1 species
GCGGCCAUAGUCUAGUCUGGUUAUGAUUCCAGCCUUCCAAGCUGGCAACCCGGGUUCGAAUCCCGGUGGCCGCACCA